CCAAGAAUUGACUGUUUUCCAUUUCAAGUAAUUAAAUUAGUAAGCACGGAAUCUAGCUAGGCUUCCCACAACAACAGUUACCUUCUUCAUCUUCUUCCUCUUCCUCGUCGCUUCCUCAAAAUCCUCGAAAACUCUGAAGAUCUUCCAGAGAGUCACAGCGAGUGAGAGAGAAAGCUAUUUGUUCUCGUGAAGUCCAAGUGUGGAAAUUGACAACUGGAUUUAUGGUUGGAUUUGGUGUGUAGUGUGUUGUAGCGAUUAGGUUUUGAAUCAGCGAAAAUUGAAAAAUGGUAUUCAAGAACAAGCUCUUCUUCUCUUCGAAGAAAUCUGGAUCUUCUAGUCCCGAUAGCUCUAAUAGUCCCAGAUCUGUUGGCUCCAACUCUCCCAUACGAUCAGAUAAGAAGAAGUCUAAAUCCGCUUCCAAGGAUGAACCUCAGAUCCCUAAUCCUGGGGUUGGUUGCAAGCAGACGCAGAUUAAAGAUGGUUUGAAGAAGAAGGAUGGUUCAUCUAAGGGUAAACAACUUUCAUCUGAAGUUCAAGCUCACUCUAUCGGAAAAUCGAACUUGUCUCCUAGUUCUGAGGCGAAGAAACCACCGCCGCCGGAGGUGAAGGAAGGACCUGCGUUUGUGUCUCCAAUCAUGGCUUCGUCUCUGGGUUUGAACCGGAUUAAGACGAGAUCCGGACCGUUGCCACAGGAAAGGGUUUUCAAUUAUAGGAAUGAUCCGGCUACGAGCAAUUUGUCGAAGAUGGGUGCUGAUGGUGGUGACUUGGGCUCGGAUUCAGCCACUACUGGCUCUGGUAGUGGCAAUAGAAAGAAAGAAGCUGGGAGUAGCAAGCUAGGGUUAGAAGAGAACAUGGGUCGCACUCGACCAAGUGACAAUAAGAGUGAUCGUGAUAGUUUGUCUCCUGAUGCUGGACCACCGCGGAGCCUCAGCCCUACUUUGCCGGCAUCAGGAUCUCGAUUGCAGAAUGUAGCAUCCUCAUCGGGAACUGGUCGCUCUGAGAUGUCAUCUGGUCGCUCUGGCCCUCUAAGAAAUUCAGACUUUUGCACCCCAGAGAAUUCAUAUGAAUGGGAAAAUCCCAAAGAGUCAGAAUCACCACGUUAUCAAGCCUUACUUCGUAUGACCAGUGCUCCACGAAAGAGGUUUCCUGGUGACAUCAAAAGUUUUUCUCAUGAGUUGAACUCAAAAGGGGUACGACCCUUUCCAUUAUGGAAGCCUCGUAGGUCGAACAAUGUGGAGGAAAUAUUGGUUCUGAUUCGAGCAAAAUUUGAUAAAGCAAAGGAAGAAGUAAACUCUGACCUUGCAGUAUUUGCAGCGGACCUGGUGGGAGUUCUUGAGAAAAAUGCAGAAAGCCAUCCUGAGUGGGAGGAAACAUUUGAAGACUUACUAAUUUUGGCUCGAAGUUGUGCUAUGACUACUCCUGGAGAUUUCUGGCUUCAGUGUGAAGGCAUUGUUCAGGACUUAGAUGAUAGACGUCAAGAGCUUCCUCCGGGCGUCCUCAAGCAGCUUCAUACUCGGAUGCUUUUUAUCCUUACCAGAUGUACUAGAUUACUUCAGUUUCAUAAGGAAAGCUGGGGGGAGGAGGAACAAGUUGUACAACUACGGCAGUCAAGAGUCUUGCAUUCUAUAGAGAAAAUACCUCCUACUGGAGCGGGAAGGAGUUCCAGUGCUGCAAAGGUCUUAAAGGUACCAUCUACCAAGAAAGCUUAUAGUCAGGAGCAGAGUGGUUUGGACUGGAAGGAAGACGCGGUUUUACGCUCAGUUCCCCCUCUCUCUCCAACUGAAAAUUAUGCUCUUAAGGAAUCUGAAUCUCCUGCAAACAUUGAUAGAAUGUCUUCCUGGAAAAAACUUCCAUCUCCAGCACUGAAAACUGUGAAAGAAGCGCCAGCGUCAGAUGAGCAGAAUGAUAUCAAAGUUGAACCUCCAAAUAUGGUUGGGAAUCGACAAGCUAGCGAUGAUGCGGCUGUUGCUAUUCUCAACUAUCCUCCAGCAAAAGAUUCUCAUGAACACUCCAAGCAUCGGCACAAUAUUUCUUGGGGUUACUGGGGAGAACAACCCCUUAUUUCAGAGGAAAGUUCAAUAAUGUGCCGUAUCUGUGAGGAGGAAGUUCCCACAACACAUGUGGAAGAUCACUCUAGGGUUUGUACAUUGGCUGAUAAAUAUGACCAGAAAGGACUGAGUGUUGAUGAGCGGUUGAUGGCAGUUGCUGGAACACUUGACAAGAUAGCAGAGACCUUCAGACAUAAGGAUAGCCUAGCAGCCGCAGAAAGCCCAGAUGGUAUGAAAGUAUCCAAUUCACAUUUGACUGAAGAAUCUGAUGUUCUCUCUCCAAGGUUGAGUGAUUGGUCGCGAAGAGGGUCAGAAGACAUGCUUGACUGUUUCACGGAGGCUGAUAAUUCAAUUUUUAUGGAUGAUCUGAGAGGUUUACCGUUAAUGUCAUGUAGAACCCGUUUUGGUCCCAAGUCUGAUCAAGGUAUGACAACUUCAUCUGCCAGUAGCAUGACUCCUAGAUCCCCGAUUCCGACCCCUAGGCCUGAUCCAAUUGAACAUAUAUUAGGAGGCAAAGGUACAUUCCACGAUCAAGAUGAUAUUCCACAGAUGAGUGAACUUGCUGACAUUGCAAAAUGUGCAGCAGAUGCCAUUCCGGGUGAUGAUCAGUCCAUUCCAUUCUUACUUUCUUGUCUUGAAGAUCUGAGGGUAGUUAUAGACCGCAGAAAGUUUGAUGCACUUACAGUAGAAACUUUUGGGACUCGCAUAGAAAAAUUGAUCCGGGAGAAAUAUUUGCAUAUGUGUGAGCUUAUGGAUGAUGAAAAAGUUGAUCUACUAAGCACUGUAAUUGAGGAAGAUGCUCCCCUAGAAGAUGAUGUUGUUCGGAGCUUGAGGACCAGCCCGGUACAUCCGCGAGACCGCACAUCCAUUGAUGAUUUUGAGAUCAUAAAACCAAUUAGCCGGGGAGCUUUUGGGCGAGUUUUUCUAGCGAAGAAGAGGACAACAGGAGAUCUAUUUGCAAUCAAGGUUCUGAAAAAGGCAGAUAUGAUUCGUAAGAAUGCUGUUGAAAGUAUACUUGCUGAACGUGAUAUAUUGAUCAACGUUCGCAAUCCCUUUGUGGUUCGUUUCUUCUAUUCUUUCACGUGUCGUGACAACCUGUAUCUGGUGAUGGAGUAUCUGAAUGGAGGGGACCUGUAUUCGUUGUUGAGAAAUUUAGGUUGCUUAGAGGAAGAUAUUGUCCGUAUAUAUAUUGCUGAAGUUGUCCUUGCUUUGGAAUAUUUGCAUUCUGAGGGUGUUGUUCACCGUGAUUUGAAGCCGGAUAAUUUGUUGAUUGCGCAUGAUGGUCAUAUAAAGUUAACAGAUUUCGGGCUCUCUAAAGUUGGUCUCAUCAACAGCACGGAUGAUCUGGCUGGUCCUGCUGUAAGUGGGACGUCUCUGCUUGAUGAGGAGGAUUCACGAUUAGCGGCAUCUGAGGAACAACUUGAAAGGCGCAAGAAACGGUCUGCUGUGGGUACUCCUGAUUACUUAGCGCCAGAAAUUCUUUUAGGGACAGGACAUGGUGCAACUGCGGAUUGGUGGUCUGUUGGCAUCAUUCUGUUUGAACUCAUUGUGGGAAUUCCACCCUUCAAUGCGGAACAUCCUCAGCAAAUAUUUGACAAUAUUCUCAACCGUAAGAUACCAUGGCCUCAUGUUCCAGAAGAAAUGAGUGCUGAAGCUCAUGAUAUUAUAGACCGAUUUUUAACAGAAGAUCCACAUCAGAGACUUGGAGCUAGAGGGGCAGCUGAGGUCAAGCAGCACAUCUUCUUUAAAGACAUCAACUGGGACACACUAGCAAGGCAAAAGGCUGCAUUUGUUCCGGCUUCAGAGAGUGCAAUUGACACAAGUUACUUCAGAAGUCGCUACUCGUGGAACACAUCAGAUGAGCAAUUUUUCCCGAGCGGUGAGGUUCAAGAUUAUAUUGAUGCUGGUAGCUCGACUGGCAGCAGUGGUUGCUCGAGCAAUCAUCAUGAAGAAGGGGAGGCUGAAGAAUGUGAAGGACAUGCAGAGUUUGAGUCUGGCGUACCUGUAGAUUACUCUUUCAGUAAUUUCUCGUUCAAGAACCUCUCUCAGUUGGCGUCUAUCAACUACGAUCUUCUAUCCAAAGGCUGGAAAGAUGAGCCACAACAAAUUCCGCAUCACAAGUAACAUCCAUUUCGUGGAUGUUUUUCUCGAUUCCUUUGGUGCUCUGUGAGUCAGUGUAAUGAGUACUCUGCCAUUACCGGCGUUGUUUGUAUACUCUGUAAAUAGACAGGAAGAGGAAAAAAAAAAAAAAGAGGAGAUAGCGGACAUUGAAACACUAUGGAGACGCAGCCACAAAUGUGGUAUCGUUACUUUUCUCAUAUUUCUAUAAUCACUAGGACAUGAGAGUGGUGAGGUAGCGUUUGCGUUUCGAGUAAGCAGCGGCAGCAAUCGGUCUAUGUAAAGUUAAGAGAGCUCACAACCUACUUAACCUUUAAUGAGUUCAAAUACCAUUUAAACCUCUCAAGAAUUUUAGAUUGAUUUAAUUCUUCAACUAAUUUAGUUA